rnacentral:rRNA from 1 species
UACGGGGGGGGCAAGCGUUGUUCGGAAUUACUGGGCGUAAAGGGCUCGUAGGCGGCCAACUAAGUCAGACGUGAAAUCCCUCGGCUUAACCGGGGAACUGCGUCUGAUACUGGAUGGCUUGAGGUUGGGAGAGGGAUGCGGAAUUCCAGGUGUAGCGGUGAAAUGCGUAGAUAUCUGGAGGAACACCCGUGGCGAAGGCGGGUCUCUGGGCCGAUACUGACGCUGAGGAGCGAAAGCGUGGGGAGCAAACAGG